GUGGCGAUAAUACCCUUUCUCCCGAUCCCUUCCUUCAAAAUCAACUCAUUCAACUCUGUUAAUCUAGGGUUUUUCAAGUAGGUAGACAACUAUCAAGAAACAUAAGAUCUAAAUGGAUUUUGACGAAUACGAGGUACUUGGAGAAGACAGUGGAGAUGUUUUAUCUACCAUACACAACCCUUUAAGAUAGAAGAUGAUAGCCAACGAUAUCUUAAGGGGGACCAAGAGUCGUCUGUCCAUUGUUCCUAUGUGUCGAUAGGGACGGGGAGAAUUUGGAUGAGGAACGAAGGGGAAGUAGAAGGAAGAGAGGAAUAUUAAGGAUAGAGAGAGGGAGAAAGAUAAGGAAAAGUCCAUACUUCAGAAAGCAGGAGCGGGAGAUGGAUCGGGAGCUUGAAAGCGAGUGUGAAGGGUCUCGGACAAGUGGGAGCAGACCCGGUAGGUACCAAGACAAUGAAACACGAUAGACGUAGUAGGGAUGGACGGUUAGAUCAUUUCUUUGAAUUCUUUUUUUUUUUUUUUUUUUUUUUACUUUUCUUAUAUAGUUAUACAAAUCCAUGUAUAAUAUAUUAUUCUACAUUUGUAGUUAGUACUCUCUGCUACUACAAGUCUUCAAGUGUCUAUUUAUAUUUUAUCAAACAAAAAAAAUAUUCUAUAUUUAUAGGGUUGGAUAUUUGAAUUCCUACAAAAUUUCAUUUUUCAUGCUAUAUAUUGAAUUAUUGGUGCCCUUUCUGCUGUAGUUAUUAUUGGUGCCCUUUCAUGCUAUUUAAUUAUGUUCUUUUCAAAAGACGUGUUAUUUUCUAGUUUUCUCUUUGCCAUGAGAAUUGAGAUAUGAAUAUGAUUUUCCCCUUUAAAUGAUUUAAGGCUUGAUUAGGUUGUUAUCUAGAUUUUCGUUUUUUCUGCUAUUUUUAAAAUUAUGUAGUAUUUUCACUUUCAAACUGCAAAUACUGAAAGACUGUGAUUUAUAAAAUCUCAAUGCUUGUGAACAUUGCAUAGAUUUUAAAUUUCUAUUCAGUGUUUAUCGUUAAAAAAUCCAAGUAUUAAACGAUAAAUGCUGGGAACUUGUAGAUCUUCUAGACAAAAUCUUCUGAUGGCUAUUCAUGUGAUGUGGGCCUGACAAAAGAAUUCAGGUCGUGGGUCUUAAACACUAUCUCACGGAAGCGGAACCAAAGGUCUUCUAUCAAGUCUCCCCUCAAAAUCGCAAUCUCCGAUUUGCCUGGUCAGAAUCGCUUAGUUUACAAUGGAUGUCCCUUGAAUAGCCAUCCAAAAGCUACUAGGCGAUUUUCCCUCAGAAUCGGCGUCCCCGCCUUAGAUCUCGCCCAUGGCGACCCUAUAGAUAGGGACCCCAAAUACGAGACCGAGGCAGAAGUUCUAUCCCUUCCAGAGCUUCAAACACCGAGCAAUCGUCGAUUCCAUACUUGAAUUGCCAAUCUCCCCUAAAGAUUUGACGUAGAGCAGCUUUCGUGGACCCCAGAGCUUCCGGCACGGCCAAGACAACCAUUCACAUCACUGCAAGUGCUGGUGGGAUUUUCCGAUCCUUAUCACUAAUACCUAGACCUAAAGAUCACUUGGCUAGUGGAAGAAGACUAGGAGUUUUAUGGAUGGGUACUUGUGUCACACUGUCACGUUCUGUUGAUGCAAUUAACUUUUUCAUUUGUGAAAAUGAAGGGUUUUCUACCCUAAAAGUUACAAUGGAAAAAAGCAAAAACAAUAUAAAUAUAUUUUAGAACAGGAAGCUCUAAUAGACUCUUUCCUCACAACCAUGUUGUCUGAAAAUGCAUCAGAUUAUCUGCCUCCAGAGGUUGGUCUCCCAUAUUUGCAUUGAGUUGGUGUCCAAGGGGCGAACAGUUUUUCCUGAGGCUUUCAGGCUUAAAGGAGAAGCUGAUGCCCUUGAUGACUUCUUUUAGUACUACUUCUGGUGACCUGAGAGUGUGUUGUUUCCAUCUUUGAUUCCUUUCUGUCCAAAUAUGCUGGGCUUGCCCGUACAAAGUACCCAAUGCAUUCCAUAAUAAACUCGAAAUUGGUGGAUGAUGUGUUAGUUUUUGACAAGCCUCUGAAAGGUCUCAUAACUUGAUAUUUGGGAGGUUUACGGUGGGUGUGGGGAUGUUUAGAAUUUUCCAGAAGAUGUUCUGUUUUUGGUUACCCUCAUUUUUGGGUCAAAUGGCGUAAUAGUAUCAGUUCUUUUGCAGACAUGUUGGUACUCUAAAUCACGUAACUUUGACUGAUGUAUGUCCUGUUAUGCUGCUUAUGAAAAGAUGGGUUGCACUUAUUCUUUUAUGGUGCUUAUUCUCUUCAUUUCUCGUUGCGGGAUAUUUUUCUGUUUUUAACUUUAUUUUUAUAUGCAAGUAUGUAACUAUUUUUAUUGAGAACACAGUAGUGUUCUUGUUUUCUAUUUUAGCAAUUAGUUGGUUUGUGUAUUCAUGGCAUAUCUUAUGUAGUUAUGUGCAGUUUUUCCCCUCUCAGAGGUAAACCAUGUGAUGUACUGUGGUAUAAAUAAUGAACCAAGCAUUGAGGAAGUUAAUUAGUUCAUCUUCCCGAUAUUCAGGUAUUCGUAUUUCACUUCCUCUUCUCAGCUAAUUUAUGGUGAAUUCCAGUCUCUAAUAUUCCCUGUCAACAACAUUCCUCUGGCGACUCUUUUGCAUUCAACAAUAAAGAAGUCUAGAAUCAGUUUAUGCAUUGGUUUUCUCAAAUCAGGUAUUAUUGGCUACAUUAGGUAGACUGAAUUUCCUUCUAAGUUCUCACUAGGUAGAGUGAUCAAAUAUUCAAAUGAUCAAAUCAGUGCGGGACAUGACAGAACUGACGACAAGGAAGGAGUUCGAUGGCAUUAAGAAAUCCCUUCACACAAUUGAGACAAUGUUGAAAGCAUUAGCAUUUAGCAAAAUUCUCGCCUUUGGCUGUAGGUAGAUCAUGGUUCUAAGCACCUCCAGGUGUUGGGUCUUAACUCUUAAUUGGAUCCGAUUCACUUUUUUAAAAAAUAAUUUAAGACUCCUUUGCGUUUUCCAAAAAAACAACCUUAAACCAAUCUUUCUUCAAUCUGUGCUCCCCCUCCGAAGAUUGGUUUUGAGGUGGAAAAAAACCAAAAUAUACGAAAUAUAAAUAUCUAAACUAAGUAUUUAAAAAUGAAUUAAAUAUUUAAAGAUAUCUGAGUGUAUUAAGUAUAUCAAUAUAUGAAAUUUAUAUAUUUUUAUAUUUUUAAAUUAUUUAUGAAAAUACCCCUGGUACCCAAGGCACGUCUGAUGCUCGCUUGAGCGGCAAUGCGCCAGGUCCUGGCAUACAGAGCAAUUGUGCAUUUAAGAUAUUGAGGUAGAUUCAUCUAAACAGAGGCAUUUCGGAUAAAGAUCGGCAAUGGAUUGGACAUAAUGUGGUUUCGUCAUCCGAUGAAGAGCAGAGUUUAAUUUCACUUGACAUCAUUGUAUUAAUGAUAUUUUUCAUCGUAAUGGGAUAUUUGAUGAUAAUUUUGGUCAGCACUCAGCACAACAAACGAUUUGAUGAUUACCAUGAAAAUCACAAUGGAAGUUUUAAGGAUUAUCACCAAGGUGGGUGUAAGAAGAAGUCAAUAAAUUAUGUCUGAAUAUGGUGACUAGUCGAUUACCUUCUAAGAAUGGACCUACUAACGUUUAAUUGACAAUUACAUAUUGAGGUGUUUCUUGAUUAGAUCACGAAUGUGGAGCACAUAGUAUCAAGCUUGUAGCACUUCGAUUCACGGACGGAGUAUCAAUUUAUUUGGAGAAGAUUGCAAAGUGUCACAGUUGCCUACAAAAGAGGCCAAUUUGCACUUUGUCAACAUGAAACUACUGUUAUGAUCAAGAUUUCUUCCAUUGGAUUACUAGAGGGUUGUGUUAUUUCCGAUUUUGCAAGAUCAAGUCGAACAACAUAAGUAAGAUGGAUUAAAGAUCAAGUUGAACAAGCAUCAGUUUGUGUUCCCUCCCGGAGGGCCGGAACUCAUAGUUCCAAAACAUAAUGGAACAUGAAGAAGCGUCAUGGCCUGAUGUUUUGAAAUCGUUAUGCCAUCCAGUCUAAAAAAUGCAUCGGAUAUCUUCGUGCAGUCAUGAUAGAUGGAGGCAAUGAAAAUUUUGAAAUCGUUCCUGAUUGCACACGAAAACCAUAACGUCAAUGCCAUAACUGCUCGUUUGUUAAAUAAUUAGAUACUGUCAGGGUCUGCUUUUUCCUCAUGCCAUUUCUAUUAUAUCGUGUUAGUGUUAUUCUUUUGUUUAUGGGUAGUUUCGUUUUUUUUUCUCAGGGACCACCUGUGAAAUAUAAAUGAUGAAACUUGUAUAUCUGUAGAGUUUGUGUUAGCUGUUCAGUAUUUACUUGUUUAAUGUUCAUUUAUAUUGCUGGACAUGUUCUACCAUCAAUUUUUUCCCAUUGAUGUAUAUUUGCGAAACUCUCCUGAUUUCCUUUGCAUUUUCUAUAUUAUUGUAGAAAUAACAUAAUGUAUUCUUCCCCAUCUGGAUAUUUGCAUUUUGCGUGCAGGUUUCCUCUGAUCAUGACAUGAAAUACCCAGAACAAUGAUCAAUAAGAUUGCUCUCAAUUUUGAGGUGGAAUUUAUCUUUAUCCAUUGAUUUGUAGGCGUAUUCCGAUCGAUUUUCUUUGAUCAAUUUGUGAAAUAUGGAGGAGGUACGUAGAAGGUUGAGAUUAAUACACCAAUUUUCUGAUUCUUAGUCUGUUUUAUUUACCAAUUCCUAUAGUGCUUCCAAGCUCAAUUUUAAUAGUUUGCUUGAUUCUUUUAUAUUCCCAGUCUCUCAGAUAUAUUUGCUAUUCUUAAAUACAGUUAAUAAAUCUUAUUAUUAAGAAUCUUGAUGCCUAAAUAUUGCAAACUGGGAUCAAGUAAGUGGUACCUUUGAUGAGUUUGUGCUAAAUAUUAUGAUUUAAAAAGGCAAUUGGGGUCAAGUUCUAAACAGUAGAUGAG
rnacentral:lncRNA from 1 species